AUUGAACGCUGGCGGCAGGCCUAACACAUGCAAGUCGAGCGGAGCGGCGGACGGGGGAGUAAUGCCUAGGAAUCUGCCUGGUAGUGGGGGAUAACGUCCGGAAACGGGCGCUAAUACCGCAUACUAUCAGAAGAGCCUAGGUCUGAUUAGCUAGAUGGUGGGGUAAAGGCCUACCAAGGCGACGAUCCGUACCUGGUAUGAGAGGAUGAUCAGUCCCACUGGAGCGUAGACACGGUCCAGACUCCUGCGGGAGGCAGCAGUGGGGAAUAUUGGACAAUGGGCGAAAGCCUGAUCCAGCCAUGCCGCGUGUGUGAAGAAGGUCUUCGGAUUGUAAAGCACUUUAAGUUGGGAGGCGUUACCAACAGAAUAAGCACCGGCUAACUUCGUGCCAGCAGCCGCGGUAAUUC
rnacentral:rRNA from 1 species